rnacentral:tRNA from 1 species
GAAAUAAAUAAACGUUAAACUUCUAAUUUAACAUCUAGUGUAAAUCAUUAAUAUUUCU